rnacentral:rRNA from 1 species
UUGAACGCUGGCGGCAUGCCUUACACAUGCAAGUCGAACGGCAGCACGGGAGCAAUCCUGGUGGCGAGUGGCGAACGGGUGAGUAAUACAUCGGAACGUGCCCAGUUGUGGGGGAUAGCUCGGCGAAAGCCGGAUUAAUACCGCAUACGACCUGAGGGUGAAAGCGGGGGAUCGCAAGACCUCGUGCAGUUGGAGCGGCCGAUGUCAGAUUAGCUAGUUGGUGGGGUAAAGGCCUACCAAGGCGACGAUCUGUAGCUGGUCUGAGAGGACGGCCAGCCACACUGGGACUGAGACACGGCCCAGACUCCUACGGGAGGCAGCAGUGGGGAAUUUUGGACAAUGGGCGCAAGCCUGAUCCAGCCAUGCCGCGUGCGGGAAGAAGGCCUUCGGGUUGUAAACCGCUUUUGUCUAGGGAAGAAACGGCCUGUGCUAAUACCACAGGUUAAUGACGGUACCUGAAGAA